rnacentral:rRNA from 1 species
ACUCCUACGGGAGGCAGCAGUGGGGAAUAUUGCACAAUGGGCGCAAGCCUGAUGCAGCCAUGCCGCGUGUAUGAAGAAGGCCUUCGGUUGUAAAGUACUUUCAGCAGUGAGGAAGGCGGAGUCGUUAAUAGCGGCCUCGUUUGACGUUAGCUGCAGAAGAAGCACCGGCUAACUCCGUGCCAGCAGCCGCGGUAAUACGGAGGGUGCGAGCGUUAAUCGGAAUUACUGGGCGUAAAGCGCAUGCAGGUGGUUUGUUAAGUCAGAUGUGAAAGCCCGGGGCUCAACCUCGGAAUUGCAUUUGAAACUGGCAGACGUAGAGUACUGUAGAGGGGGGUAGAAUUUCAGGUGUAGCGGUGAAAUGCGUAGAGAUCUGAAGGAUACCGGUGGCGAAGGCGGCCCCCUGGACAGAUACUGACACUCAGGAUGCGAAAGCGUGGGGAGCAAACAGGAUUAGAUACCCUGGUAGGAUAGCG